CUCUACACUCUAACCACUAGGCUACCCUGCCGCCCCUCCACUUUAACCACUAGGCUACCCUGCCGCCCCUCCACUCUAACCACUAGGCUACCCUGCCGCCCCUCCACUCUAACCACUAGGCUACCCUGCCGCCCCUCCACUCUAACCACUAGGCUACCCUGCCGCCCCUCCACUCUAACCACUAGGCUACCCUGCCGCCCCUCCACCCUAACCACUAGGCUACCCUGCCGCCCCUCCACUCUAACCACUAGGCUACCCUGCCGCCCCUCCACUCUAACCACUAGGCUACCCUGCCGCCCCUCCACUCUAACCACUAGGCUACCCUGCCGCCCCUCCACUCUAACCACUAGGCUACCCUGCCGCCCCUCCACUCUAACCACUAGGCUACCCUGCCGCCUCUACACUCUAACCACUAGGCUACCCUGCCGCCCCUCCACUCUAACCACUAGGCUACCCUGCCGCCCCUCCACUCUAACCACUAGACUACCCUGCCGCCUCUACACUCUAACCACUAGGCUACCCUGCCG
ensembl:lncRNA